rnacentral:rRNA from 1 species
GAUGAACGCUGGCGGCGUGCCUAAUACAUGCAAGUCGAGCGAACAGACGAGGAGCUUGCUCCUCUGACGUUAGCGGCGGACGGGUGAGUAACACGUGGAUAACCUACCUAUAAGACUGGGAUAACUUCGGGAAACCGGAGCUAAUACCGGAUAAUAUAUUUAACCGCAUGGUUCAAUAGUGAAAGACGGUUUUGCUGUCACUUAUAGAUGGAUCCGCGCCGCAUUAGCUAGUUGGUAAGGUAACGGCUUACCAAGGCAACGAUGCGUAGCCGACCUGAGAGGGUGAUCGGCCACACUGGAACUGAGACACGGUCCAGACGCCUACGGGAGGCAGCAGUAGGGAAUCUUCCGCAAUGGGCGAAAGCCUGACGGAGCAACGCCGCGUGAGUAAUGAAGGUCUUCGGAUCGUAAAACUCUGUUAUUAGGGAAGAACAAAUGUGUAAGUAACUAUGCACGUCGUGACGGUACCUAAUCAGAAAGCCACGGCUAACUACGUG